ACUGUGCGAUAUGGUAUGAUUUCGAGAUAGGAGGCUCCCUGGAUUCCUUUUGUUGCUGUAACACCAACACUUUCACAAUUCUGAGAUGACUCUGACAAUUGAAGAAAAUGGUUGGCGAAAUUGCUGUUGGUGUGGGCAAGUACUGGAGUGACGAGGGACAGUCACUUUCUCACAGGCAGGGUGAGGGAACCCACCCAGGAUAAAUGGGGUUAGUAACUAAUCAGGAUACAUUUAACAGUAUACUAAUCAGCAAACUGACAAGUUUGAUAGCCAAGAAGACUGAGGUAAUUUAGAAAAAUAUAACAGUGUGGGACCACUCGUAUCCUAAGAAGGAAGGCAGCUGGUACCAUUGUUUACCGGCAUCUACCACAGGUUCGUGUGGACACAUGAAGACUUGGAGCAUGGCUGUUGUCAUCACAUACUGUCACGAGUACACAUCAGAUUCCAGUAGGAAUUCAAAUGGCGCCGUUCAAGACACUUCUGAGAUGGUGGCUCCCCUGUGGCCCGAGUUUGGCACUGAUGAAGUGGGACAAAGUCGUGAUCUUACGAGACCAAGACACUGCCCACCGCACCAAGUGGACAACACAUCAUAAUUUUAAGUCCUAGCAGAGCAAGUCUCCAUUUCUCUUUCCAUGGAUGCUGGCACAAAAGCAGAAACUUCUUCAGGAUCUAC